AACGCACGAGACCUGCGGACCUGCGGAGGGAUCAUUAAUGAGAAACUGCCCCUCGCGGGUAGAUCUCCCACCCUUUGUAAACUUACCUUUGUUGCUUUGGCAGGCCCAUCUCCGGACCGCCGGCUUCGGCUGGCCAGUGCCUGCCAGAGGAUUCUAAAACUCUGUCUGUCAGUGUUGUCUGAGUCUAUAUACAAUCGUUAAAACUUUUAACAAUGGAUCUCUAGAUCGGAAGAGCACACG
rnacentral:misc_RNA from 1 species